AAACCGCUAGAAACCGUAACCACCCGCAUCCGCAAACUCCCAUAAUCACAACUGCAACCGCUGCGUUUGAACCAGUCAGACCCUUAAAGAUGAUACUUAAAUCUGUUAUUCUUAAUUAAUAUUGUUGGUCUCUUAAAGUUGUAUAUGGUAAUUUAUUUCGUUGAGUAGUUUUAGAAAACUUUGUUAUUUAAUAUUUGAGUUAAUAAAAAAAAAUUCCAAGACAAAGAGUAAAUAUCCAUAAUUAUAUAAGAUUUUCACUCUAAUAUAUUGAAAAUCAUGAUUUUAAAAUAAAAUAUUUUAAGAAAAUGCAAUGAGUCUUAUGUUGACUUAAAAUAUUUUGAUUCAAACUAACAUAUCUUCAUAAUAUAGAUAUUUCUAUAAUAAAAUUAAAAUUGUAUAUAAAUAUAACUAUAUGAAAAUACAAAUAUGUUUAUCUAACCCGUUUUACGUUGGUUUUUGUUUUAUUUUUAAUAUUUUUUAAAAAGAUUUUGUUUCUAAUAUUUUAAAACUGAAAUAAACUAAUUCAUGUUCUUAACUCGUCAAGCAUCAGAAAAAUUUGUGACUAAUUAAUUAAACAAAUCAGAGCUAGUUGACUAAAUAUUUCUCGGUAAAUAAUAAAUAUACUUAAAUAUAUAUUCUAAGCCAAUAAUUUAGGAACACAUAUAUUAAAUAUAAAUAUAGUUAUAGAAUAGUUUCAUUAUUUUAGUUAUCUAUGAAAAAAACUUAUACAGAAAGUUUGUGAGACAUAAUCUGAACAUACUAUACGGUUUUACGUAUAUAGGAAGCAUAUUUUAUAAAAUAUUAAAUACAAAGAUUCAGUUACAUCGAAAAUAAGAUUCGCUUAAAUAACCUAAGUUUUGCACGUAUUAUUAAUUUAGAAUAAAGUUAAAUACAGUUAUAUAUUAUUUAACUUUAUACAUAGCAUUUAUGGAAUUUAUAAACUAUAUGACCAACUUUAUUUCAUAGAAUUGUCUUCGACCAUCGGCCAUCUCUCCAUAUUUAAUAGAAUCCUAACCAAAAAUUGGUUAAUAUCACACAUUUCAAAUCAUAUGAAACUAAACCGGACAAAACAGAAAGUAAAACCCUGGUUAACCGGACUUGUUGGUUGCACUUGCCCCUAACCACCGCAGUCGUGACUCGUGAUCUUCUGAGUUCCGAGCCACCUCACUCCUCCCAAAGGACAAAAACAGAUCUCGGGAGUGUAACUCAGAAUAGAAGCAGCAGAACAAACAAAUAAAUUAUAGAACAAACCUUACGAAAAAGAAGAAAAAAACAAACCUUACAAAUAUAUAAAGGAUACAUAGCUUGUAAGCUUGCUUAUAGUCAUGCGGAAACGAAACGCUUGCAAUGGAGAACAUUCAAAUUCCAAACUUUAAUUCAGGAAACAACAAAAAAUCCAAGCUUUGUUAAGAUCUCGACUUUGGAAUUCAAAAAAUCUUUCGUUAGUUACAGUUAAAAGAGAAAGAAAAAUUUAAAUAGUUCCGUGCUUAAAUAAAAAGAAAUUCAAAAAAUAUAAAACUGAAUUAAAAGUAUAGCUUAAAAAUACUUCAAUGGUAUUGUCUCGUAAAUAUUGUUAAAACAGAAGGGCACCUCAAAAACAAUUCCUCAAAAUUAUUACAACUUGAUUUCUUUACAAAAGAGGACAUCACAAUCUUCGGUUGUCACCGCUACAGCUACAGGAUACUGAACAAUGGAAACAUUACCAGAAAAUACCAAGAGAAGCAGAACUAACAAAAGCUUACACAACGAGAACAACAGCAUAUUAUAUAUCAAACCCACAAAAGAUCCUGGCGGAUGCAAAAUAUCUUCAACCCCAAGAAUAGGACAGGUCAAGGACGAGUGGGGUACACGCGCCCUCCGUUGCCUUUCCCGUUGCCGUCGCCAGUAGGCCGGCUAAUAGCGGAGGGAGAAAAGGCAGAGACAAUGGCUUCAACGGCCAUAGUCUUUACCAGCUUCCUCUUAACGGGAAUCACACUCGCUAUUUCUUUCUUCACCUUACGCUCCGACGUAGAACUAGAGCCUUCUCCUUUAGAACUCAUCUUCAAUGUAGAUCUAUGUGUAUAUGUAUGUUUUGUGUUUGUUUGUUGCUUUUGUAAUGGUGAAGCCAUGCAGAAAUGUGGUUGGUUUAUAUAGAAAAGAGGAGAUGCCUUCAAGUGAGUACUGUUAACUUCUGCUCUAAGUUGCUCCAUGUCUUGUCAGCCAUCCAUUGCUGUAAAGAGGAAAUUUACGUUAACACCUUCUACUUCUGAUUUAAGUUCCAAAUUAAAUAAUAAAACCCAAGCGAAAUUUACGUUAAAUUUCGUGCAUUUUGUUCUGGAGUAUAUGUGGAUACAUAUAAACCUCUUAAGAAAUAAAUUAAAAUUAACACUAAACUAAAACUAUAUUUUAAAAUAUUCAUGCAUUAUUUGAUUAAUGUAGUAGUAUGUAUAUAUUUGGUAGAUGAGGAGCCGGCAACUUGGGAACUAAGUACCGGUCUGCCGCUGUUACAAGAAACUGGGAAGACAACAGUCCACAUAUAUGUCAUCGGGAGUAUUUUUUAUUCAAUACUUUCUAUAAAAUACAUAAGUACAUAAAUAACUAAAUAUAUAUAUGUAUAUAAAUAUAAUGUGAAAGGAGCUUUAUUUAUCUUUCAUUAUAUCAAUAUACUGUAUAUAUCUCAUCAUUUAAUAAUAAGUAGUGUUUUAGUAUUGUUAUCUCUGUUUCAAAAAAGAGCUUUAAUUAUUAGAUGUUCUACAUCCUGUAAUAAAUCAUUGGGCAGUAUAUAUGUGUAUGGUUAAUUUUCCACUUUUUAGGUAGUUUUUGGGUGUGAGUUAUGUCCAUCACCAAUAUGAUAUCAGAGUCUAUGGUUAAGCCCAACAGAUGAUUUCCCAUAUAAACAGUUUUUUACCUAUGUAGACUGUAAAAAUGAUCCAUCUUGUUGUGGUAUGUCCGAGAUGUUGGGCUUGGACUGUUUCCAUUGGACCGUUUUCCACCCACAUCAUGAGAGGGGCUAUUAGAUGUUUCACAUCGUGUAAUAACAUGAUCUUUGGGCAAUAUAUAUGUGUAUGGAUAAUCCACUCCUGAGCUGGCUUUUGGAUGUGAGUUAGGCUCAUCACUAAUAUUUAUAUUUCAAAUACAUCUAAGACGAUGACAAAAAUAAACUAUUUUAUUUGUAUUUUUGUCUUAUUCUUUUUUUUUUUGAUAAAAGCUGUCUUCUUUUUAUUAUUAUGUUCUAACUAAUCAUAUAAUUGUAAGUGAUGUUUUAGUAUUAUAUAAUAUAUAUUAUAGCAAUGUAGUAAAUAAUCAUGGGAAAUUUGAAUGCAUAACAAUAGCAAAAUACGAAACAUAGAUUCUAACCAUAUUAUAUGUUAGGCUACGAUAUAUUGAGCCAUAUUUAUGUAUAAUGACAACAAUGCCCCGCGCGUGAGCAAGCAUAUGCCUACCGUUUCUUCUAUUUUUCUUUAUCCAGGAAACUGAACAGUUUUCAUUCACUUUAUAACCCUAACAAAGCAACAAAGAAGAAAGAUUUGGAGAGAGAGUUUUGGUGGAAUUGCGGUGGGAUUUCGGAUACAAAAGGCGGUGGUAAGUGGCGUACGUAGGCCGAUUUCAGACGGGAAAGCAAAGGCAUCAAGGGAGAUCUGCGUGAACGGGGUCAUCGACCGAAGCGUUGUAAGGAUGGAAGAGUUAGAUUUGCCAGAACGCUUGUUUCAGACAGGGUAUGAUCCCACGGACCGGAAAAGAAUUAACAACUAUUUCAAUUUGCGGUGGAUUGAGGCUGUAAAAGCAGCACUUUCAGAUUCUCAGCAGGAGAUUUUGGCGGAAUCUCAGUUUAGACAACUAAUGCUUAUGGGGGCUCAUACAUUUUCAGUAAUGUUUGCACACCAGUUGUUGUCACGGCAGUUGGUGAUUAGGAAGUUGUAUGAGCUGUGGUGGUUGUUUGUAGGAAAGUCAAUUUGUUAUGGUACUGGGGACUUUGCCUUAGUUACAUGUCUCAAUUGUGUGACACCGCCAACGCCGUCGGUGGGUGGGCAGCAGAUGGGAAAAGGAAAAGGCAAAUCAAAGGAAAAACAAUUAGGUGGUGAUGGAGUUGUUUGGAAAUCAUUAUUUGGCAGUGGGGAGACGAUAACCCCAGAGUGGAUCCUAUGCAGGUUGAGCCAAAAAAACAAAUACAAAGAUGAAGACACUAGAUUGCGUUUGUGUCUUUUCCUGCUAGUAGAAGGUAUUCUAUACCCAACUAAUGGUUCAACACAGAUUAAUAUGCAUAUUAAUUGUAUAUAUGUAUCCUUUAGAGGAGGAUCAAUAAAUUUCGAGCACUUUAAGUUCACUAGUUGUAUCAUGUUUUUCUUUUGCAAUUAGUGUAGGACUUAUGUCAAACUGUACGAUACUAUAUUAUACAACAUAUAGUAUAGUUUGAAAUGGCCAUCAUGCUUAAUAUACGAGCUACACAAAUGCGUACAUGUGGAGUAUUGUUGUAUAGUAGAGUAUAGUACAGUUUGUCACAAGUUUUCCUACCCUUGGUUAAAUGUAUAUCGGUUUCCUACAAAAGAGAAUCCAGAAAUUUUGAGCAUUUUAAGUUCACUGGUUAUAUCAUUUUUUUCCUUUGCAAUCAGUGUAGAACUUGUGUCAAACUAUACGAUACUAUAAUAUACAACAUAUAGUAUAGUCUGAAACGGCAAUCAUGCUUAAUAAUCGAGAGUGGCGUACUUGGUUAAAAAGGAAUUCAUUGAACUCACAAAAUUUGGGUAUGAAUCUUUCUCCUGACCCAUUAACUAUAUUUUGACCCCUCAAAAAAAAUUUUUGGAUUCGCUACUGGCUGGAACUUGUCUGA